AUCCACUAAGACGUGGACAGCUGGAACCACCCCUCUUUUCACUCUCUCUCUCUCCCAAACCCUAAACCAACUCCUCCUCUUCCUAUAGGACACCGCCACACUGGAUUCACUCCUUAUUGUACGGUUCUAAACACACACACACACAAUAUUAACAACAACAACAACCACGUCGUACUACAACAACAAAAACAGCUUCAGAGGUAGUAGAAACUCAAACUAGAGAGAGAGAAAGAGACAAAGGAAGCACUGAAACACAAAAAAGAGGUUUUCUGGGACUCUGGCAGUGGAAGCUGUGUACGUAUAUUCUGGGCAGCAUAGAUUGAUUCCUCAGAUUCUUAAACCUAAAAUUCUCAGCCUUUUUUUUUGUUUUUGUUUUUUUCCAAAAAAAAACAAACAAACAUAUACUGUAAAUAAAAGAAGGGUCUGUAUUCCACUUGGACAUCCACCUCACUCUCUCCAAAACGCCAUCAAAGCAGGUGCUUCCAAGAUAUUGCUAAGGGUGCAAGUGAUCUGGUCUUAAACUGUGGAACUUAAAGGGGAUUUUAUGAAACAAUCUUUGAUGGGGACAGGGGAAGAGGGCACACCUCCUAAGCCUUCGAAACCAGCUUCUUCAACUCAGGAGAUACCGACAACACCUUAUGCUGAUUGGUCGAGCAUGCAGGCUUAUUAUGGUGCUGGAGCUACUGCACCUCCAUUUUUUGCCCCAACUGUUGCUUCUCCAACCCCCCACCCUUAUUUGUGGGGAAGCCAGCACCCUUUGAUGCCACCAUAUGGGACCCCAGUUCCAUACCCAGCUUUAUAUCCUGCAGGGGGUGUCUAUGCUCAUCCUAAUAUGACCACGACCCCAAACCCAGUGCAGACAAAUGCAGAGUUGGAAGGUAAGGGGCCUGAUGGAAAGGACCGGGCUUCAGCUAAAAAAUCCAAGGGAAUGUCUGGAAAUUCUGGCAAGGGUGGAGAGUCUGCAAAGGCAACUUCAGGUUCAGGAAAUGAUGGCGCUUCACAGAGUGCUGACAGCGGUACAGAUGGUUCUUCAGAUGCAAGCGAUGAGAACAAUAACCAACAGGAUUUUACAGCUAGCAAGAAGGGAAGCUUUGACCAGAUGCUUGCAGAUGGAGCUAAUGCACAUACUAACACUCCUGGGGCCAUUAUUCAAGCUUCUGUGCCUGGGAAUCCUGUAGUCUCAGUACCUGCAACUAAUCUGAAUAUUGGAAUGGACUUAUGGAAUGCAUCACCUGCUGGUGCUGGAGCUGCAAAAGUGAGAGCAAAUCCAUCUGGUGCCUCAUCAGCACAUGUUUCUCCAGCAAUGAUGGGUCGCGAAGGUGUAAUGCCUGAUCAGUGGGUACGGGAUGAACGUGAGCUGAAGAGACAGAAGAGAAAGCAAUCUAAUAGGGAGUCUGCUAGGAGGUCAAGAUUACGCAAACAGAGUGUGAAGAACUACAAGCAAGAGUGGAAACUUUGAACAACGAGAAUCUCAAUCUCAAGGAUGAGGUCCAGAGGCUUUCCGAGGAAUGUGAAAAGCUUACAUCCGAAAAUAGUUCCAUUAAGGAAGAGUUGACACGAAUAUGCGGACCAGAAGUAGUUGCUAACGUGGAACAGAACGUUGCCACAUCAGUUAUUCAAUCUCAUGGUGACGGCAACAAUUUAAAUUGAAACACUCCUACGAUACGACAGAUAACAUUGCAGUCAGAACAGAAAUUAAUUCAACUCCAGGAAGUAAUGGCAUUGGCCCUAAUGGAUCAUGAAACAUUUAUUUUCCUUACUAAUUUUAUAGCCUUAACCCUUUGUAACUGUUAACUUUUAUGAUAUCUUUACUGAGUUGGGACAUUCCUGAGUCCAUCUGUAUUGUUGUAUUGAUCAAUUGAAGAAAGAAAAAAAAUCAUAUAGGAGAAUACUUCAGCAACCGUUUAUGUAUUGAAUGGAAUCGCAAUGGAUAUUAGGCUUUCAGUUUAA